CCAGACUCCUACGGGAGGCAGCAGUGGGGACUCUUUCACAAUGGGCUCCCGCCUGAUGCCGCCCUGCCGCGUGUCUUCCGAAGGCCUUCGUGUUGUAAAGUCCUUUCAGUCGGGCGGCCGGUGUCAAGGUUACUAACCUUGGCCAUUGACGUUACCGACAGAAGAAGCACCGGCUAACUCCGUGCCAGCAGCCGCGGUAAUACGGAGGGUGCAAGCGUUAAUCGGAAUUACUGGGCGUAAAGCGCACGCAGGCGGUUGAUGGAGUCAGAUGUGAAAUCCCCGGGCUUAACCCGGGAAUUGCAUCUGAUACUGGUCAGCUAGAGUCUUGUAGAGGGGGGUAGAAUUCCAUGUGUAGCGGUGAAAUGCGUAGAGAUGUGGAGGAAUACCGGUGGCGAAGGCGGCCCCCUGGACAAAGACUGACGCUCAGGUGCGAAAGCGUGGGGAGCAAACAGGAUUAGAUACCCCCGUAU
rnacentral:rRNA from 1 species